CAAGACAAUCGCGGCUGCCGUAUGGCAGAUGAGGAAAGUCCGGGCUCCGCAGGGCAGUGUGCUGGAUAACGUCCAGCGGGGGUGACCCUAGGGAAAGUGCCAUAGAAAAGAAAACCGCCUGUCUCGGCAGGUAAGGGUGGAAAGGUGCGGCAAGAGCGCACCAGCGGGCAGGUGACUGUCCGGCUUGGCAAACCCCACAUGGAGCAAGACCAAAUAGGGAAGGGUUGAGGCGGCCCGCCGACCUUCCGGGUUGCGUCGCUUGAGCCGUGAGGCAACUCACGUGCCUAGAUAAAUGAUUGUCACCGCGCGAGCGGUACAGAACUCGGCUUAUUGGCUGCUU
rnacentral:RNase_P_RNA from 1 species